rnacentral:lncRNA from 1 species
CUCAGAGAAGCACAGUGGGGCUGAAGCUGGUGCUGUCUCCUUCCACCAAAGGGCAGCAGCGGUUGUCUUCUCACAGCUCUCUCCUGGUGGGCUUGCAUGAGCCAGGAAGCAACUGCUUUCUGUUCACGUCCUUCCUUGCAGGAGCCACAUGCACCUUUGGGUUCAGUGGUGGAAACCUCCCCCGAAACCAUCAUCUGCAGGAUCUCUCUGAGUCAGAGACAAAACCACGUAAUCUCUGCACUGUUUCUACCUCGCAGGACUUCAAACACUGAGAGCCAGCUGGGGGUUUCGAUACAGUGCUCCGUGUCGUCUCAGUGGAUACUUCUGUGCAUCUUUAAUGCUUUAAAAAGUGGCUUUCUUGGAACUAUGGUUUUGAUUCUGAAUUUUGUUUAUAGAAUAAGCUGA